ACGAUCGGGUAGUAAUACUCUCAUUGUGCAAGAUCCUUCCUCUGCUUCUUUGCUUCCUGUAACAGAAAACCUCUGCCUAUAAAGUAAUGACCGCAUUAUAUACGAAGAAACAGGUCUGCAGUAAGUGUCUGAACGGACAACACUUACUGGAAAUCUAGUUCAUAUUAGAUUUUUCUAUUUUUUCUGGUAGACAACCUUUAUUGGGGUACUUACAAGUCAUAGAAAAAAAAGAGUCUAUACUACCCCUUACUACUAUAAGCCAGAAAGUAAAGCUGCUACAACAAGGGCCUAAAAGGGUACUCCAGCGUUUAACUACUAAUUCACUAUCCACAGGAUAGAAGUGUGUGAUCGCUGGGGGCUCCAACCUUUGGAAGCCUCUGUGAUCCUCAGAACAAGGGCCUAAAUUUCCCAGCUGCAAGGUGCACCAUGCAUCCUCUGGGGGGCGCCAGAGGUAACAGAGUGCAGAGCUUGUGUAUCUCUGGCACUUCCAUAGAGAAUGCAUGGAGCUUGUGCCGACCCUGCACUCCAUGCAGCUGGGAGAUUCAGGGCCUAGAGGUCAGAUUCCCCACAAUCAAACACUUAUCCCCUAUCCAAAGGAUAGGAAGUCAUUGUUAAGUGGAGAUCGGUCUUUUUUGUUCUGCUUCUUCAUGAAGCAGCCUAUUCCUGCAACUGUAAGCAGGUAUGACAGCAAUAUUUUUAAAGAGUUACUACCAUCUGCUAUAAAAAUCCUUAUUUCAGAACUAUUAGUAUCAUGUCCUCACCAAGACCAUUGAGGACGUGAGCAUUAUUUGUGCUCCAUGCUGCACUCCUCUUGCAGUGUAUACACACAACUUGUCAGUGUAUUUGCCCUCUCACCUAAAGUAAUAACUGCGAGUCAGGUUGUAUGGUGCAUAUAUCAAAGUAACAGGACCAAGAUGAUAUCCCGUAAUAUGCCCAAAAUAAUGUUUACAAAAUUUGAACCCCCCCCCCCAAAUUCACUAAAAUAACAAACUGUUACUUAACUCUGCCGCCAUUCCCACAUCAAUCCACCAUUCUGCAUCUGGUGACCUCUUGAGCCAGUCAGCGGCCUUGACCGUCAUUCUUUGCACUCCUGGCACCAGGGCCCCUGUCACUGAGCAUUUAAACCAGGAAUACAGAGCGUGACCGCCAAGGCUGCCAAUUAGCUGCAGUGGUCACAUGACAUACACGGCUGAAGUAACACUAGAGCGCCGACUGGAGGCAGAAUGGAAUAUCAGAGCAGGGACAGAGAUACAGCAAUAAAUCUGGAAAGGCCAGCAGAAAUCCCUGAAGUCGAACGUGAACAGAGCCUUACAGAAGUACCAAAGACAGUAAUAAGAUGAUUUGCUGCCCAUUGACUUCACAUCAAUCUCUGUCCCCAGUGGGGUUCAUAAUCUAAUUUCCCUAUCUCAGGCACACACCUCAGGUAAUCUCAAUUUUGAAUGCUGAAGGAAAGCCAUGCAUAAAAAACUCCAAGCAAACAUGGCUCUUGCAUACCCCAGAACCACCAUGCUGCCCAACAAAGAGGAAGAUUUAUCAAAACAUGUGCAGGUGAAGAGAGACGCAGUUGCCCAUAGCAACCAUACAACGUUUUUUUUUUUUUUAAAUGGAAGAAGUUAUUUAAUUGGUUGCUAUGGGCAACUGCACCACUUUUCUUCUACAGUGUUUGUAAUAUCUAAUGGAUAAAGAAUGGACAUUGAGCCAACACAGAAAACAGUCAUCCAUCCCUACAAGUUAUUUGUGUAUAGUCUCUGUGUGAAUUCACAUAAAUUAGACGAUUCCAGCUGACAGGAACCCAUAUGGA